AGUAAAGUAAGCUAAUAAAGCUUUUGGGCCCAUACCCCAAAUAUGAGAGUGAAACCCCCUCCUUUACUA
rnacentral:tRNA from 1 species